CAGCAGCCGCGGGAAUACGUAGGUCCCGAGCGUUGUCCGGAUUUAUUGGGCGUAAAGCGAGCGCAGGCGGUUAGAUAAGUCUGAAGUUAAAGGCUGUGGCUUAACCAUAGUAUGCUUUGGAAACUGUUUAACUUGAGUGCAGAAGGGGAGAGUGGAAUUCCAUGUGUAGCGGUGAAAUGCGUAGAUAUAUGGAGGAACACCGGUGGCGAAAGCGGCUCUCUGGUCUGUAACUGACGCUGAGGCUCGAAAGCGUGGGGAGCAAACGGGAUUAGAGACCCCUGUAGUCCCUGUCUCUUAUACA
rnacentral:rRNA from 1 species